rnacentral:lncRNA from 1 species
AUGACUUUUACAGAUGAAGACACAAAACCAGCAAUGACUGAAUCAACAACUGUUGAAAACUUAGUUACAGCAUUGAUCACUGAAGCUUCAGCAGAAAAACAAGGUGAAGUUUCAUUUAAAUUCAUUGUGUAUUAUUUCUUUCUCAUAGUUGAAGGUGGAGGAAGUAAAACAUGUGGUGAGUGUUUUCCAGGUUGGUGGAGGAUCAUCAUCGUCUCUGUGGGUUUAACAACACUCAUAAUCACUGUUGUUACAGUCGACAUAUGGAUCAGAACCAAAGGGAACAAAACACAAAAGAAUCAAACCACAGUUGAUGAAGAUGAAGAUGAAAAUGAAGGUGAAGUAUGAAAAUGCUGGAGUCUCCUCUGCUUCAGUCUGAAUCCACUGAUCAGCAGCUUCAGCAUCAGCUCAGUAACAGGAGGAGGAAGCAGCUGUGAUCACUGACAGAGGAGACGCUGAGACUCGACUGGAGACAAACAUGAAAACGAGCCUAAAAGUGGUGACUUGAUUAAAUCCUUUUGCUUUACCAUCUGUCGUAACAGGUCCAGCUUCCUCAUUUUAUUUUUACUUGUGGUUUCAUCACAUGAUUAAAUGAACAAAGUGAAGCAACAGACGACUCGUUUGCUUGGUCCACUUUUCAGCAGUGACGAUAAAACUCAUAAACUCAGAUGAAGGUUUAAAACAUGAAGUUUAAGCAGAACUGUGUCAUAAAAUUCAUAUUUUGACGUCACAACAUGUGAAUGUUUCAAACCUGAUGUGAUUGGACUUGUGUUAAAUGGAAAGAAACUACUUAACAAAUUAAGAGUGAGGAAGUUACAACUUACUAAGUACAGGAAGUAAGAUUCAUCAUCAGCUCAGAGACUGAGACAGAGAAGAACGAUGUCUGAACUCAGGCGCAUUCAAAUGUUAGUGUUUCUGAUCCUGAUGCUUCAGUUCACAGGUGAGGAAACAUUUAACAGCAUCAAGUCAUUGAUCUUAGUUCACACUAACUGUCAGAGGUUUGUUGGUGCUUUGAUCUAAAAUCAUCUUUAAUGUUCUGUUUAUUUCUCAUCUACAGUCACUGAACAACUUUCCUC